rnacentral:rRNA from 1 species
GACGUAGGGCGCGAGCGUUGUCCGAGAUUUAUUGGGCGUAAAGAGCUCGUAGGCGGCUUGUCGCGUCGACCGUGAAAACCCGUGGCUCAACUACGGGCUGGCGGUCGAUACGGGCAGGCUGGAGUUCGGUAGGGGAGACUGGAAUUCCUGGUGUGAGCGGUGAAAUGCGCAGAUAUCAGGAGGAACACCGGUGGCGAAGGCGGGUCUCUGAGCCGAUACUGACGCUGAGGAGCGAAAGCGUGGGGAGCGAACAGG